UUCCGGAGCUUGCUCCGGAACUUAGUGGCGGACGGGUGAGUAACACGUGGGAAUCUACCCAGCAGUGCGGAAUAACUACUGGAAACGGUGGCUAAUACCGCAUACGCCCUUCGGGGGAAAGUUUUUUCGCUGUUGGAUGAGCCCGCGCUCGAUUAGCUUGUUGGUGAGGUAAAAGCUCACCAAGGCGACGAUCUUUAGCUGGUCUGAGAGGAUGAUCAGCCACACUGGGACUGAGACACGGCCCAGACUCC
rnacentral:rRNA from 1 species